GUUUAACGGCCGCGGUAUUCUAACCGUGCGAAGGUAGCGCAAUCACUUGUCUCUUAAAAUAGGGACCUGUAUGAAUGGCUCAACGAGGGCUUGACUGUCUCCUUUUUCUCGUCAAUGAAAUUGAUCUCCCCGUGCAGAAGCGGGGAUAGUAGCAUAAGACGAGAAGACCCUAUGAAGCUUCUAGACCCUAAGAGAGAUUACGUUAAAUAACCCCACCAAAGGAAUGAAAAUCAGCAACAACUCUUCUAGCGUCUUUGGUUGGGGCGACCGCGGGGAAAUAAAUAACCCCCACGAGGACAGGGAGAACCUACCCUCCUACAACCCAGAGCUACAGCUCCAAGUAACAAAAUUUUUGACCUAAAUGAUCCGGCAACGCCGAUCAACGGACCGAGUUACUCUAGGGAUAACAGCGCAAUCCUCUUUUAGAGCCCAUAUCGACAAGGGGGUUUACGACCUCGAUGUUGGAUCAGGACAUCCUAAUGGUGCAGCCGCUAUUAAGGGU
rnacentral:rRNA from 1 species